UUAGAGUUUGAUCCUGGCUCACGACGAACGCUGGCGGCGCGCCUAACACAUGCAAGUCGAACGAGAGAGAGGGAGCUUGCUUCCUCAAUCGAGUGGCGAACGGGUGAGUAACGCGUGAGGAACCUGCCUCAAAGAGGGGGACAACAGUUGGAAACGACUGCUAAUACCGCAUAAGCCCACAGGUCGGCAUCGACCAGAGGGAAAAGGAGCAAUCCGCUUUGAGAUGACCUCGCGUCCGAUUAGCUAGUUGGUGAGGUAAUGGCCCACCAAGGCGACGAUCGGUAGCCGGACUGAGAGGUUGAACGGCCACAUUGGGACUGAGACACGGCCCAGACUCCUACGGGAGGCAGCAGUGGGGAAUAUUGCACAAUGGGGGAAACCCUGAUGCAGCGACGCCGCGUGGAGGAAGAAGGUCUUCGGAUUGUAAACUCCUGUUGUUGAGGAAGAUAAUGACGGUACUCAACAAGGAAGUGACGGCUAACUACGUGCCAGCAGCCGCGGUAAAACGUAGGUCACAAGCGUUGUCCGGAAUUACUGGGUGUAAAGGGAGCGCAGGCGGGAAGACAAGUUGGAAGUGAAAUCUAUGGGCUCAACCCAUAAACUGCUUUCAAAACUGUUUUUCUUGAGUAGUGCAGAGGUAGGCGGAAUUCCCGGUGUAGCGGUGGAAUGCGUAGAUAUCGGGAGGACACCAGUGGCGAAGGCGGCCUACUGGGCACCAACUGACGCUGAGGCUCGAAAGUGUGGGUAGCAACAGGAUUAGAUACCCUGGUAGUCCACACCGUAAACGAUGAUUACUAGGUGUUGGAGGAUUGACCCCUUCAGUGCCGCAGUUAACACAAUAAGUAAUCCACCUGGGGAGUACGACCGCAAGGUUGAAACUCAAAGGAAUUGACGGGGGCCCGCACAAGCAGUGGAGUAUGUGGUUUAAUUCGACGCAACGCGAAGAACCUUACCAAGUCUUGACAUCCUGCGACGGACAUAGAAAUAUGUCUUUCCUUCGGGACGCAGAGACAGGUGGUGCAUGGUUGUCGUCAGCUCGUGUCGUGAGAUGUUGGGUUAAGUCCCGCAACGAGCGCAACCCUUACUGUCAGUUACUACGCAAGAGGACUCUGGCAGGACUGCCGUUGACAAAACGGAGGAAGGUGGGGAUGACGUCAAAUCAUCAUGCCCUUUAUGACUUGGGCUACACACGUACUACAAUGGCGUUAAACAAAGAGAAGCAAGACCGCGAGGUGGAGCAAAACUCAGAAACAACGUCCCAGUUCGGACUGCAGGCUGCAACUCGCCUGCACGAAGUCGGAAUUGCUAGUAAUCGUGGAUCAGCAUGCCACGGUGAAUACGUUCNCCGGGCCUUGUACACACCGCCCGUC
rnacentral:rRNA from 1 species